AUGGCUGUCCUGGUGCUGCUCCUCUGCCUGGUGAUAUUUCCAAGUUGUGUCUUUUCCCAGGUACAGUUGAAGGAGACAGGCCCUGGCCUGGUGCAGCCUUCACAGACCCUGUCUCUUACCUGCACUGUCUCUGGAUUCUCAUUAACCGACUAUCAUAUGCACUGGAUUCGCCAGGCUCCAGGAAAGGGGCUGGAGUGGAUGGGAGUAAUAUGGAGAAGUGGAAAUACAAAGUACAGUUCUGCUCUCCAAUCUCGAAUCACAAUCAGCAAGGAGACCUCUAAGAGUGAAGUCUUCUUAAAACUGAACAGUCUGCGCACUGAAGACACAGCCAUAUAUUACUGUGCCAGAGACACAGUGAGGAAACUCCAAUUUGAGCCUACACCAAAAAACAACCAGACAUCUGGGACCAGUAGAGGGCACUAUGAACCAAAGGUACUCCUGAAAUACAAAAGGUCUGGAAAUCCAGACAAUAACAAGGAAAUAUUCCAGAGAUUCCAUCGCCAGUCCUCUAAGAAGCACAAAGUAAAUCUCAUUCAACUGAGGGAAGUGGGGAAACCUUAUCCUGUGCUCAUCUCAGGAACCUCCCCAAAUACAAAGCAUCCCUGA